AACUAUAUUAUUCACUCUUGUGCCCAUGGACUAACCACGCAUCGACCAAUUUUUAAAAGUAGUUAAGAAGCAUGUGAAAAGCAUAUCAGAGCUUGACACAAUUUGUAAUGCUCUGACCGUUUCUACUAAUGAGCAUUAAUGUCCUUUCUCGGGUCUAUGGGCUCUACCACUGUCCAACUGUCGGUUCACUAUGUACGAGAGGCUUUAAGAUUUUUUACCACCCUUACAAAUCACCACAUGAUAUUUUCCUGUGCUUUGUCCUCAUUCACACGGUUCGGACAAUCACUUUCCAGAAAGUCACUCAUCCUGAAUUUGCUGCAUCCCAAACAUGCUUAGCUUUGAAGUUCUCUUCAACGUUUGAUCGAAAAGAUAAAUGCACUUUGGUGACAUAGAUUGCCAAAUCAAUUAUUUUAAGGGCUUAUUGUUAAAAUAGAAAUAAUUUUAUUAAAAACUCUGAUUUUAGGCACAUUGAGAGUGUGCUUCAAAAAAAGGGACUUUGGGCUUUGGAAUUUGACAAUUUUACCCCUUUCAUCUGAGCUUCUCUUUCCUCCUUCAUCUUCGCAGCUUCUUCUCCACAAUCCAACUUUUCUGCAAAAAAAA
rnacentral:sRNA from 1 species